rnacentral:rRNA from 1 species
GAUGAACGCUGGCGGCGUGCCUAAUACAUGCAAGUCGAGCGAACAGACGAGGAGCUUGCUCCUCUGACGUUAGCGGCGGACGGGUGAGUAACACGUGGAUAACCUACCUAUAAGACUGGGAUAACUUCGGGAAACCGGAGCUAAUACCGGAUAAUAUAUUGAACCGCAUGGUUCAAUAGUGAAAGACGGUUUUGCUGUCACUUAUAGAUGGAUCCGCGCCGCAUUAGCUAGUUGGUAAGGUAACGGCUUACCAAGGCAACGAUGCGUAGCCGACCUGAGAGGGUGAUCGGCCACACUGGAACUGAGACACGGUCCAGACUCCUAAGGGAGGCAGCAGUAGGGAAUCUUCCGCAAUGGGCGAAAGCUUGACGGAGCAAAGCCGCGUGAGUGAUGAAGGUCUUCGGAUCGUAAAACUCUGUUAUUAGGGAAGAACAAAUGUGUAAGUAACUAUGCACGUCUUGACGGUACCUAAUCAGAAAGCCACGGCUAACUACGUG